AUUGAACGCUGGCGGCAUGCCUUACACAUGCAAGUCGAACGGUAACGGGCCUUCGGGUGCCGACGAGUGGCGCACGGGUGAGUAAUACAUCGGAACGUGCCCGAUCGUGGGGGAUAACGAGGCGAAAGCUUUGCUAAUACCGCAUACGAUCUACGGAUGAAAGCAGGGGACCGCAAGGCCUUGCGCGGACGGAGCGGCCGAUGGUAGAUUAGGUAGUUGGUGGGAUAAAAGCUUACCAAGCCGACGAUCUGUAGCUGGUCUGAGAGGAUGAUCAGCCACACUGGGACUGAGACACGGCCCAGACUCCUACGGGAGGCAGCAGUGGGGAAUUUUGGACAAAGGGCGCAAGCCUGAUCCAGCCAUGCCGCGUGCAGGAUGAAGGCCUUCGGGUUGUAAACUGCUUUUGUACGGAACGAAAAGCCUUCUUUUAAUACAGGAGGGUCAUGACGGUACCGUAAGAAUAAGCACCGGCUAACUACGUG
rnacentral:rRNA from 1 species